rnacentral:rRNA from 1 species
UCAGAUUGAACGCUGGCGGCAGGCCUAACACAUGCAAGUCGAACGGCAGCACAGAAGAGCUUGCUCUUUGGGUGGCGAGUGGCGGACGGGUGAGUAAUGUCUGGGAAACUGCCCGAUGGAGGGGGAUAACUACUGGAAACGGUAGCUAAUACCGCAUAACGUCGCAAGACCAAAGUGGGGGACCUUCGGGCCUCACACCAUCAGAUGUGCCCAGAUGGGAUUAGCUAGUAGGUGGGGUAAUGGCUCACCUAGGCGACGAUCCCUAGCUGGUCUGAGAGGAUGACCAGCCACACUGGAACUGAGACACGGUCCAGACUCCUACGGGAGGCAGCAGUGGGGAAUAUUGCACAAUGGGCGCAAGCCUGAUGCAGCCAUGCCGCGUGUAUGAAGAAGGCCUUCGGGUUGUAAAGUACUUUCAGCGGGGAGGAAGGCGGUGAGGUUAAUAACCUUGCCGAUUGACGUUACCCGCAGAAGAAGCACCGGCUAACUCCGUGCCAGCACCCGCGGUAAUACGGAGGGUGCAAGCGUUAAUCGAAAUUACUGGGCGUAAAGCGCACGCAGGCGGUCUGUUAAGUCAGAUGUGAAAUCCCCGGGCUUAACCUGGGGAACUGCAUUUGAAACUGGCAGGCUUGAGUCUCGUAGAGGGGGGUAGAAUUCCAGGUGUAGCGGUGAAAUGCGUAGAGAUCUGGAGGAAUACCGGUGGCGAAGGCGGCCCCCUGGACGAAGACUGACGCUCAGGUGCGAAAGCGUGGGGAGCAAACAGGAUUAGAUACCCUGGUAGUCCACGCCGUAAACGAUGUCGACUUGGAGGUUGUGCCCUUGAGGCGUGGCUUCCGGAGCUAACGCGUUAAGUCGACCGCCUGGGGAGUACGGCCGCAAGGUUAAAACUCAAAUGAAUUGACGGGGGCCCGCACAAGCGGUGGAGCAUGUGGUUUAAUUCGAUGCAACGCGAAGAACCUUACCUGGCCUUGACAUCCAGAGAACUUAGCAGAGAUGCUUUGGUGCCUUCGGGAACUCUGAGACAGGUGCUGCAUGGCUGUCGUCAGCUCGUGUUGUGAAAUGUUGGGUUAAGUCCCGCAACGAGCGCAACCCUUAUCCUUUGUUGCCAGCGAUUCGGUCGGGAACUCAAAGGAGACUGCCGGUGAUAAACCGGAGGAAGGUGGGGAUGACGUCAAGUCAUCAUGGCCCUUACGGCCAGGGCUACACACGUGCUACAAUGGCGCAUACAAAGAGAAGCGACCUCGCGAGAGCAAGCGGACCUCAUAAAGUGCGUCGUAGUCCGGAUUGGAGUCUGCAACUCGACUCCAUGAAGUCGGAAUCGCUAGUAAUCGUAGAUCAGAAUGCUACGGUGAAUACGUUCCCGGGCCUUGUACACACCGC